rnacentral:lncRNA from 1 species
AAUUUGGGGAUUUUUUGGAAUUUUUUGGGUCCUUUUGGGAAUUUUGGCUGGAUUUGCCCUGAAAUUUGGGGAUUUUGGCUGGAUUUGCCCCGAAAUUUGGGAAUUUUUGGGGUUUUCUCUGGAUUUGCCCCAAAAUUUGGGAAUUUUUUGGAAUUUUUUUGGUCCUUUUGGAAAUUUUGGCUGGAUUUGUCCCGAAAUUUGGGGAUUUUGGCUGGAUUUGCCCCGAAAUUUGGGAAUUUUGGCUGGAUUUGCCCCAAAAUUUGGGGAAUUUUGGUUGGAUUUGCCCCGAAAUUUGGGAAUUUUGGCUGGAUUUGUCCCGAAAUUUGGGAAUUUUGGCUGGAUUUGCCCCGAAAUUUGGGAAUUUUGGCUGGAUUUGCCCCGAAAUUUGGGGAAUUUUGGUUGGAUUUGCCCCGAAAUUUGGGGAUUUUGGCUGGAUUUGCCCUGAAAUUUGGGGAUUUUUUGGGUUUUCUCUGGAUUUGCCCCAAAAUUUGGGAAUUCUUUUGGAAUUUUUUCGGUCCUUUUGGGAAUUUUGGCUGGAUUUGUCCUGAAAUUUGGGAAUUUUGGCUGGAUUUGCCCCGAAAUUUGGGGAUUUUGGCUGGAUUUGCCCCAAAAUUUGGGAAUUUUGGCUGGAUUUGCCCCGAAAUUUGGGAAUUUUGGCUGGAUUUGCCCCGAAAUUUGGGGAAUUUUGGCUGGAUUUGCCCCGAAAUUUGGGGAUUUUUUGGUUUUCUCUUGAUUUGCCCCAAAAUUUGGGAAUUCUUUUGGAAUUUUUUGGGUCCUUUUGGGAAUUUUGGCUGGAUUUGUCCCGAAAUUUGGGGUUUUUGCUGGAUUUGCCCCGAAAUUUGGGAAUUUUGGCUGGAUUUGCCCCAAAAUUUGGGAAUUUUGGCUGGAUUUGUCCCAAAAUUUGGGAAUUUUGGCUGGAUUUGCCCCAAAAUUUGGGAAUUUUGGCUGGAUUUGCCCCGAAAUUUGGGAAUUUUUUUGGUUUUCUCUGGAUUUGCCCCAAAAUUUGGGAAUUCUUUUGGAGUUUUUUGGGUCCUUUUCCGCAGGGAUUCCCUGGAUUCGGCCACGGAGGCGUCCGUGGUGCAGAUGAAGGAGCGCAUAGCCAGGUGGGGACACCUGGGGACACCUGGGGACACCUGA